CAUUUUGUGACNUUUUGGGGANAGCNUAAGUGAUUNGGUUGUUCCUUUGGGGGACAGAAUGACANGNGGUGCAUGGUUGUUGUCAGCUCGUGUCGUGAGAUGUUGGGUUAAGUCNCGCAACGAGCGCAACCUUUAUUGUCAGUUGCCAGCAUUAAGUUGGGCACUCUGGCAAGACUGCCGGUGACAAACCGGAGGAAGGUGGGGAUGACGUCAAAUCAUCAUGCCCCUUAUGACCUGGGCUACACACGUGCUACAAUGGACGAUACAACGAGUCGCUAGACCGCGAGGUUAAGCUAAUCUCUGAAAGUCGUUCUCAGUUCGGAUUGCAGGCUGCAACUCGCCUGCAUGAAGUCGGAAUCGCUAGUAAUCGCGGAU
rnacentral:rRNA from 2 species